rnacentral:rRNA from 1 species
UACGUAGGGGCCUAGCGUUUGUCCGGAAUCAUUGGGCGUAAAGAGCUCGUAGGCGGUUCGGCAAGUCACGUGUGAAAUCUCCACGCUUAACGUGGAGGCGCCACGUGAAACUGCCGUGACUCGAGUCCGGUAGGGGAGUGUGGAAUUCCCGGUGUAGCGGUGAAAUGCGCAGAUAUCGGGAGGAACACCAGUAGCGAAGGCGGCACUCUGGGCCGGU